AUCUCAGACCAUAACCCCAUAAUAUUGACACUGAAUGCAUCCUCCUGGCAUGGGAAGAGGAACUUCAAAUUCUUUAAUGUAUGGGCUGAUCAUAAAGAUUUCCAACACAUUGUGACAAGAGUAUGGCAGGAUGGGAAGACAGAUACCAUGAGAACAAUAUGGGACAAACUCAAAGCCUUGAAGACUCCCUUGAAGACCCUGAAUAAUAAGGAGUUCAAGACAAUUGCACUUAGAAUAGAAC
rnacentral:lncRNA from 1 species